AUGAACGCUAGCUACAGGCUUAACACAUGCAAGUCGAGGGGCAGCAUGGUCUUAGCUUGCUAAGGCCGAUGGCGACCGGCGCACGGGUGAGUAACACGUAUCCAACCUGCCGUCUACUCUUGGACAGCCUUCUGAAAGGAAGAUUAAUACAAGAUGGCAUCAUGAGUCCGCAUGUUCACAUGAUUAAAGGUAUUCCGGUAGACGAUGGGGAUGCGUUCCAUUAGAUAGUAGGCGGGGUAACGGCCCACCUAGUCUUCGAUGGAUAGGGGUUCUGAGAGGAAGGUCCCCCACAUUGGAACUGAGACACGGUCCAAACUCCUACGGGAGGCAGCAGUGAGGAAUAUUGGUCAAUGGGCGAGAGCCUGAACCAGCCAAGUAGCGUGAAGGAUGACUGCCCUAUGGGUUGUAAACUUCUUUUAUAAAGGAAUAAAGUCGGGUAUGGAUACCCGUUUGCAUGUACUUUAUGAAUAAGGAUCGGCUAACUCCGUGCCAGCAGCCGCGGUAAUACGUAGGUGACAAGCGUUGUCCGGAUUUACUGGGUGUAAAGGGCGCGUAGGCGGACUGUCAAGUCAGUCGUGAAAUACCGGGGCUUAACCCCGGGGCUGCGAUUGAAACUGACAGCCUUGAGUAUCGGAGAGGAAAGCGGAAUUCCUAGUGUAGCGGUGAAAUGCGUAGAUAUUAGGAGGAACACCAGUGGCGAAGGCAGCCUGCUAAGCUGCAACUGACAUUGAGGCUCGAAAGUGUGGGUAUCAAACAGGAUUAGAUACCCUGGUAGUCCACACGGUAAACGAUGAAUACUCGCUGUUUGCGAUAUACAGCAAGCGGCCAAGCGAAAGCGUUAAGUAUUCCACCUGGGGAGUACGCCGGCAACGGUGAAACUCAAAGGAAUUGACGGGGGCCCGCACAAGCGGAGGAACAUGUGGUUUAAUUCGAUGAUACGCGAGGAACCUUACCCGGGCUUAAAUUGCAGAUGAAUUACGGUGAAAGCCGUAAGCCGCAAGGCAUCUGUGAAGGUGCUGCAUGGUUGUCGUCAGCUCGUGCCGUGAGGUGUCGGCUUAAGUGCCAUAACGAGCGCAACCCUUGUUGUCAGUUACUAACAGGUUCCGCUGAGGACUCUGACAAGACUGCCAUCGUAAGAUGUGAGGAAGGUGGGGAUGACGUCAAAUCAGCACGGCCCUUACGUCCGGGGCUACACACGUGUUACAAUGGGGGGUACAGAGGGCCGCUACCACGCGAGUGGAUGCCAAUCCCCAAAACCUCUCUCAGUUCGGACUGGAGUCUGCAACCCGACUCCACGAAGCUGGAUUCGCUAGUAAUCGCGCAUCAGCCACGGCGCGGUGAAUACGUUCCCGGGCCUUGUACACACCGCCCGUCAAGCCAUGGGAGCCGGGGGUACCUGAAGUGCGUAACCGCGAGGAGCGCCCUAGGGUAAAACUGGUGACUGGGGCU
rnacentral:rRNA from 1 species